UACGGAGGGGGCUAGCGUUGUUCGGAAUUACUGGGCGUAAAGCGCGCGUAGGCGGCUUUGUAAGUUAGAGGUGAAAGCCCGGAGCUCAACUCCGGAACUGCCUUUAAGACUGCAUCGCUAGAAUUGUGGAGAGGUGAGUGGAAUUCCGAGUGUAGAGGUGAAAUUCGUAGAUAUUCGGAAGAACACCAGUGGCGAAGGCGACUCACUGGACACAUAUUGACGCUGAGACGCGAAAGCGUGGGGAGCAAACAGG
rnacentral:rRNA from 1 species